rnacentral:lncRNA from 1 species
GCAGCCUCUUCUUCAGGUUAGUUCCACCAUUUUUUUUUUUUUUUUUUUUUAGGGCUGAACUUCCUGGGAACCUCCAGAUGCUGCAGAUGUGGCCCUAAAAAGACAAAAAAAAAAAAAAAAAAAAAAAAACCUAAGAGAAUGAAGCUUCCCAAUAUAGGGAAUAAAUGCAGAAUUGUCCUUAAGAAGCAGAGUCUCAUAAAAAUCCACUAUCCACAAAGCAGAAAAUAGAUUUUCUUUUAGGAUAGUGUCCUCGUUUUCUUUGCCACUUUAGUUUAAUUUGGGUUUUGAGCACGAGUUUAUUUUCACAGAGGUAUUUAUAGAGAGAGGAAGAAAAGAGAGAGACCUUUAAAUCUGAAUUUUUCCAAUGCCUUCAAGAUCAAGGGGCUUUUCUAAGGGACGUAAAUGUAUUUCCUUCAUUGAGACCGCUUCUUGAAUAUGAUAGCCUGGUUAAGUGCCAGCCUCUGGAAAGAGUAGGCUAGGAUAUUACUGAUACUGUCAUCAACAUUCAAAAAAUCACUCCAUCACUUAGGGCUCAACUUUCCAGUCUGUGAAAUGUGAGCCAUAAUAAGACUGGAUAAAACAUACUUCUGAAGUGUUUGACAUGGUGCCUGGCCAACAUCUGCUCUAUAAACUUUAGCUAUUAACACAGCUAUCAUCAUUGUUUUCAACAACAAAUAGCCAACACCAGAAUAGUGGUGGAAGUAGGGGAAGGAGGCACAGAAAGACAGAGAAGGAGCAGAGUCCUGUUGCAUAAGUAGUCUCUGAAAGCAUUUUGAUUUAUAGAAAAUCUAUGCUCAGCUACAGUUUAAAGUUUAACCACUUCUAUUGACUAUGGAUCUUUGGAUUGACCUUUAUUUAUUGCAUUACAAAGCAGCACAUUGCAAUGUUUAGAAGUAAGGUCUCUAGAGUCACAAAACCUGGAUACAAAUGUUGUCUCUACCCUUGCAAGCUCUGCAAGCUCAAGCAAAUUACCUCUCUGAGCUUCUGUUACUACUGUAUCCUUAAAAUAGAGGUAGAAAUAGUGCCUACCUCAUAGGUUAGGUAUGAGGAAUGAACAGACACUAUAUGUAAAGUUCUCAGAACAUAGCCUAAUACAAGGUAAGCAUUCAAGAAAUGUUAACUCAAUAUAAUUAUGUUAUAGAAUAUCAUAGAUUUUGAUGUUCUUCCCCAAGAAUCAGUAUUUCUUAUUUCUUAUCCUGUAAAGACUGUUUAAGAUUUUGCGGGAGUUCCCAUUGUGGCUCAGCGGAAAUGAAUCCGACGAGUAUCCAUGAGAAUGCGGGUUCAAUCCCUGGCCUUGCUCAGUGGGUUGGAGAUCCGAUGUUGCCAUGAGCUGUGGUGUAGGUCACAGACAGGGUUCGGAACCCGUGUUGCUGUGGCUGUGGCGUAGGCUGGCAGCUGUGGCUGCAGUUCGACCCCUAGCCUAGGAAGUCCCAUAUGCCCUGGGUGCGGCCCUAAAAAGCAAAUAAAUAAAUAAAUAAAAUUAAAAAGAUUUUGCUCAAUAGCUGAUCUAUUAAAUUUCCAUUGAAAAGUUUAGGUUAAAACAAGCAGGGUUGCCAAAUCUCAAAAUUUUAGGAUUGAUUUAAGCCAUGUCAUGUUUGUUCAAGAUUCAAUCAUAGAAAUAAAGAAACCACUCUGGCAUUUCAAGCAGGAAGAAAUUUAAUACCGUGAACUAGUGAUUUGAAAAUACACAGGGAUGGUUGAAGAGGCAGUGACUGUGGAAAGCAUUCAUUAUUACUCACUAUCACCCAGUUUUUUCACCAGCCAUGAGAGAAGUAGGGAGUUCCAGGAAUCGCAUGAAACAUCCAUCAGUUAUCUCAGGUCACCACUACACCGGAUGAGCAGCUACUGGGGAAACCAAAGAAGCUGCAAAGCAUCUUAACUGUUGAAGCCCAUGAGGUCUCCUUAGUGAACAAUGGUUCUGCUUCUCUGGACAUUUCUAACUUUGUGGCUUCUGUUUGGUUGACUCUAAACCGGAAGCUUGGUGGCGAGAGAUUGUGGGAAAUGUAUUCCCUAGAUUUCCAAUCACUGUGUUAAGCAGUCAGCAAGGAAAAGAAAUGAGGGUGCAGGCUCGUUGGUUUAAAAAAAAAAAAAAAA